GUUUUUGAGCUCCAUAGUCCAAAGCUAUGUCUGACUCAUGAAUCUACUCCAGUAUUUCUGGAAAGGAGGAAACUCAAUUAUCCUGGUGCUACAUCAAGGAGGGAAGAAUUGAUUUUGAGACUACAGGAAUAACUGGCUCUAUACCUUGUUUUUCUAACAACCUAAGCUACGUUGUUUCCAGUUCUGGCCCUGGAUUAUUGGACUCAUUGAGUGACAUUUGGCAAGUCACUAAACAUCUCUGGACUCCAGUUUACCCGUCCAAACCUCAGGGGUCACGUGAGUGAGAUCCCUUUCAAGACCCCUUUCUAUUAGGUUACUGCAAAAGUAGUUGCAGUGUUUGCUAUUAAAAGUAACGUCAAAACCACAAUUACUUUUGCACCAACCUAUAUUUCUAGCAUCUAGCAUCCAUACCUCACUAUUUAUGGCAAAUUUAUUCCUAUAUUGAAUUCCUACAAUGCAAUGCACAACUCCCAAAUGUUACAUCUUUUGAGCCCUCUAAAUUACUUUAAAAUAGACAUGCUGAAGGUGACAGCCCUGUAGAUAAAAAUGUUAAAUACUCCAAGUCAGGUUGAACAAUUCCUGAAAACUCAUGUUCUUUGUAAUUUUUCCUUUUGGCUUUAAUUUUCUGGGUAAAGGAAAAAUGCCAACCUUUCCCUCCUCUAAACUCUCACAGCACUUUAUUUUUGUCUGUCUUAGAACAUUGAUUGCUUAAAAACUUAUUUGCACCUACACACCUUAAGUGUUUCCGUUAUGAAGCUGUGGUUGAAUCAACCAUCUCCUCAGUGUAUUCUUUCAAACUCAGUGUAUUCUUUUGCAGGGGCUGCCAGAACAAAGUACCAAUGGGUGGCUUAAACAACAGACAUUUAUUUUCUUGCAGUUCUGGAUUGCUAGAAAUCUGAGAUUAAAGUGUUAGCAGGAUUGAUUUCUUUUGAGGCCUUUGUCCUUGGCUUAUAGAUGGCCAACUUCUGCUGUGUCCUCAUUUGAUUUUCCUUUUGUAUGUCAAUGUCCUAUUCUCCUCUUUUCAUGACACCAGUCAUAUUGGAUAGGCCCAUCGUAAUGACCUCAUUUUAACUUAAUCCCUUUGUUAAAGGACCCAUCUCCAAAUAUAAUCACAUUUUGAGAUACUGGAGUUAGGAUGACAACAUAUGACUUUUCAGGGGACACAAUUCAGUCUAUAAGAUUCAGGAAGCACAAGUCUCCAAUUCCCAACUUGAUCUUGUUUCUGUGCACCACAGUGCUUACUGCUCACCCUCCAUUCCUGAGAAGUUGCAUCUGUACUCAGCUGAUUUAUAGGUAAGGUGGGAUUCAAAAGUGAUAUUAGUAAUACAAGAAAUAGAAGCUAAUCUUUGCAGUUUAGUCAGUACUUAUGCCUAUCUACCAAGAUGUGCUUCACUCCAACUUUAUAGACUUUCUAAACUUUAUGGA